GGAAGCCGGCCCAGCAGGUUCUCAGAUCUGCACUUUCUUCCUCUCUCGGUGUUUGCAUCUUCCUGGUACCCUCAAAUCCAAAACGAGUCAUCUCUGCAGCAAAUCAGGUCAUUUCCUGCACCACGCUGACUGUGAAGGCUUCGAGGGCUCCAGUUUGGGGACACCCGGACCUGGAUUAGAAGAAGCACCCUUGGGUCUCAUUUUCUUCCAUGGAUCCUCAAUUCCGUAAUCCUGGGGGUUGUGCUGCACCUUGCCAUCUGGAGCGGAGCCUGGAGAGGAGGCGGUAGUGCGGAUGGGAAGGUGGCGGCUGUGCUGCUGGCCUCCUGAGAGAGCAGCCCCACAAAGGAGGGAAGAGAGGCUGCUGGAAACUCGAACCUCAGGGGCAUAGAGCUUGCUGGCCUGGCUCCUGCCUCUGCCCUGGGCUGCGGUGGGACAGUCCCUGCCUGCUGCUUCCUUGGGGGACCAGGAGCAACAGCACGGCCCCCAGGAGCCCCCAGGAGGGGAGGGCCAGGAUGUCAGGCAUCACAGACAGGAAACAAGAGAGGAGGGGCUUCCUGCCCUUCCCCACCACACGCCCAUCCCAAGGCUGUGGCCUAGAGGAGCUUGGAGACUCCUAAGGAAGAAGCUCACGGACUCAGAGAUCAGACACCCAAGGGUGUCACUCCAUUAGAGCACGGAUGGGACAGCAUAAAGCCCAAGGCAGAACUAGAGGGACAGAUAGGUGAAACAGGACGGCCAAGAAACUGAGGCAAGGAGCCGAGUGCCCCAGGGCUGGAGCUUGGGGGUGCAGCCCUUCGUUGGGAUGCGCAAGGCCUGGGUUCCAUCCCCAGCACCGGAAGGCAGCACGGAGCAAGAACAAGAGAUCAACGAGCCGCCUGGAAAUGGGGGAAGAGUACAGAGGGGCAGCAAACGCAGCGGAAGAGCGGACCCGUAAGGGA
rnacentral:lncRNA from 1 species